CCGAAACCCUAAUCCCCAAUUUCUCUUCCAAUCACAAUAAUAUCUGAGAAAAUUGAAAGAGAUAAAAAAAUUCGAAAAAUUUCCGGCCAUCAAAGUCUUCCUCCAGACAUUCCAGAAGUUGAUCAUCAUGAGAUUCAGAAAAGGAAGCAGAGUAGAGGUGUUUAGCAACAAAGAGGCACCAUACGGUGCGUGGCGAUGUGCUGAGAUCAUCUCUGGUAAUGGACACACCUACAACGUCAGAUACUUCUCUUUCCACGAGGAGGCUGUCUUGGAGAGAGCUCCGAGGAAGGUGAUCAGGCCGUGUCCUCCGCAGGUCGAUGUCGAGCGAUGGGAGGCUGGUGAAUUGGUGGAAGUUCUCGAUAGCUUCUCGUGGAAAGCUGCCACGGUUCGACAGGAGUUGUGUGGGAAGUACUAUGUGGUUCGGUUGCUCGGGACUCCGUCGGAGUUUACGUUUCACAAAGCUAACAUCAGGGUCCGACAGUCUUGGCAAGAUGAGAGAUGGGUUGCGAUUGGAAAGAUAUCAGGUUCUGUGAAGUCAUCCGCACUGACUGUAUCAGACGUACAACGGAAGAAGCAGCCCCAAGUGAAAAACAUACGUCUACAGGAACCUAGUGUUGUCUCUGCUAGAAUGUUAAAGAGGCCGUCACCUAACAACUGGCCUGAGUGUGCUGAAUCAUGCACAGGAAACCCUAAGAAGAUACGAUCACUGGAAACUUCCUCUAAGAAUCGCGAAACUGGUUGCUGUCAGUUGGUCAGGGUAAGAUCAAAAGGUUCUGACGAGAGUGUUCGUGCAGGAAGCUUAGUCGCUGACGAUUGUUAUGAUAGCGAUGCAUGCUCAGUUGGUAGUUGUAGCGCUGCUAGUGAUGAUGAGAGUAACAUGCCACCUUGUAUGAUGCUAGAUGGCUCUAGUCAACAGGCAGAUUCAUGUAGCAGCGAGGCUGAAUCUUUCUGUGGCCUUAGAGAAGACGCAAGGCGGAAACGUUCGGUAGCAGGUGAUGGAGGGAGAAGGUCAUGUAGGUCUGAACUAUAUACUUACCGCAGUACAUUGGGGGACUUAUUCGCUUCUGGUCCCUUAAGUUGGGAACAAGAAACGUCAUUAACUGAUCUCCGUCUUUCUCUUAAUAUAUCAGAUGAUGAACAUUUGAUGGAGGUAAAAAAUUUGAUAUCUGCUGGUACCCGCAGUCAAUUUUGCUAGUAUCAAUCAGAAUUAAUUCUUUUUAUCUUUUUGUCCUGGCCAUAUUUCCCUGCAACGUGGAAUCAUUCAACUGUCAUAUAUUGUUCCUUUCCCAGUGGAUUUGAUAUUGAGUGUAUAGUCACAGCAGAAUAUAUAAGAACAUUGUCGCCUUGUCCGAGGCAUGGCAGACCUUUGGCUUUUAGAGGUUUAACUCUGAUGCUGGGGUUUACGACUUCUCCCUUUGGCCAUAUGAGUGGUGCAAUACCAUUCCUGUUCUUCAAAAAGUAACUGGCUUUUAUGCUAUUUUUCAUUUUGUCACUAUCUUGAUUAUUUCAGGUGUCCUGGAGUUGGCUUUGUCCACAGGGCUGCUUUGAGCAGGUUUCCUUAUAUGUUUACUGUCUGUUGGAUUAAAUUUGCUGAUAAUAUGUCAAGCCUUAGCCCUUUCUAGUUCACUAAUUAUAUCUUACGGUGCCUUCUUUUUUGGUAUUUAUUCUGUUCUGAUUGCUUCAUUAGAACUGCAUGAUGUAGAUGCUACCAUGUCGAAGUAUCAAUAGGCAUAGUCCAUUCUUUUUGGAAAUAAGCGUUUUGGAUUGUUGAGAGGUAAGUGUGAAAUGGCUUUGAAAAGGGUUAAUGGUCAUCUAGACGAUGUGUAGAUUCUUUAUUCUGAUUUGUUCUCAUGACUUUGCUUUCAUGGAACUGGUGCUAACAUUCUUACUCAGUUAGUCGCAUAUGCGUUGUGGAAAUUCUCCAAGCUCACUCUCCAGAUAUCUCCAGCAAAUCUAGUUGUUUAAAAUGUUGCUUCCUUUCAUGUGAUGAUGUCACUGUUAUUAUGCCGUGUGUUCUUUUUUUUGGUAUGGUUUAGUUACUUCCAAGUGGAGAUAUUAGCAUCAACAUGAGGCAGUAAAAGUACUUGCAAGUUCAUAUUUUAUAUAAACACAAUCCCCUCCACUCACUGGAUAAUAGAAUUGUGUUAUGUUUGUAAUUGACCCAGUAAACUGUAUGAAUGUUUGUAGUGAAGAUUAAUAUUAUCAUGUUGGGAUGAAAAAGCUAAUUCAAUAUUUACAAACUU